GCUCCAAUGGUGUAGUGGCUAUCACAACAGACUUCGACGUCUGUACGCUUGUCAUCUGUUGGUCCUGGGUUCAAAUCCCAGUUGGGGUU